GCGGGUGUAGCUCAGGGGUAGAGCACAACCUUGCCAAGGUUGGGGUCGAGGGUUCGAAUCCCUUCACCCGCU
rfam:SAR116 cluster alpha proteobacterium HIMB100 contig10, whole genome shotgun sequence.